UAUGCUAUUUAUAGAGGAAUCUCUGAGAAUCAAAUCCUCUCGGCCUUUCGGGCUCCUUCCUCUUGCUGCCACCAGUGCUUCUCCCUCUGCGUGAUGCUGAUGCCAUUCCUACAUAAAAUAUAAUUCAAAACAAACUGCAGGAAUUUGUCAUUAGAAGUUAAUACAUCAUCAAACACUUUCAACACAAACACAGUUCAAUACUGGGGUGAAACAGGUUCCCCC
rnacentral:lncRNA from 1 species